GAAUCUCUUGACUUGGGGAGGAAAUCACCAACAGUCUGGCAAGGCUGAUGCACAUGGUGGGAGGGUGGAAAUCCUGGCAGGGGCCAGAUUUUGCGCAGCCUUCCUUGUCAUUCUAGCGUCUGGACUUUAUCCUGGGGCGCUAAUAAUGUGACUUAAGGAGGCGGAGUGACAAGUUCACAUGUGCAGUUUUAGAAAGAUUAUUCUGAUGGCUGCGUGAGGCUAGAUUGGAGGGAGAAGGGGCUCCGUUUUGGGGAGUCAGGUAGUGCCUGUGCCGCUAGAGAAAGAGGGCUAUUGUUUGAGCGAGCUUUAGGAGGUGGAAUGACCAGACCAGACUGGAUAAGGGCGAGGGUGGCGCCUAAGUGUUCCGGCUUGGGUGACAGGGGGACAGUAGCCUUGUUACUGAGAUGAGGAGUCAGAAGGUGGGCCUGUUUGGGGUGUCCCGUAUAGUGGGCAUGUUAAGAGUGUAAGGAGGCAGUGCGACUCCCGGGGAAGACGCGCUGGGAGCAGCUGACGCCACAGGUGUGGAUGUGGGACUGUCCGGAGAGCGGGUGACAUAGAGUGACGCGGGGAUGCUUCUUUAGAGGCCGCUGGCCUCGCCCGGACCACGGCCCCGUCUCCCGCCUGACCGGAGCGGUACCUGUAGUGCGCAGGAAACUGCCACCUCAGCAGCAGCAGGCCCAGGAGGGCGCUGACGCCCAGCACCAGGAGCAGAGCGGUCACCAAGAAGAUCCAGGCUAAUGGACAAAAGCAGUCAGAUCUCGGGGGGCCACGCCUGGCAGGAGCCCCCCUCCCCGGUCCGCCAGGCCCCACCCCUCGCCGCCCCGGGGCGCCGGGCACCGUGUGAGUUGAGAACAUAUUGGUGAGUAAAAGCAGACACUGACUUUGCCCUCAUGGAUCAUGUAUAGUCAAGAUCAGCCUUUCUCAGCUGGAGCUCUGAGACAGAAUUUUGUCAUCAAUCAAAUAACCAUGGAACUUCCCUGAUGGCACAGUGGUUAAGAAUCUGCCUGCCAAUGCAGGGGACACGUGUUUGAUCCCUGGUCCAGGAAGAUCCCACAUGCAGCGGAGUAACUAAGCCCACGAGCCACAACUACUGAGCCCACGUGCCGCAACUACUGAAGCCCACGUGCCUAGAGCCCGUGCUCUGCAACAAGAGAAGCCACUGCAAUGAGAAGCCCUCGUACUGCAACAAAGAGUAGCCCCCACUCACCGCAACUAGAGAAAGCCUGCGCACAGCAACGAAGACCCAACGCAGCCAAAAGAAAAAAACUAUGUGAGGUUGUGCUUCUCUCCCAUGACAUCAAGCUCAGUCAGCAGUUCAGUUCUCACCUGUCUCUGGGGCAGCACCCUGCCCUGCUGUGGUAGAAGAAGCCUUGGGAGCUAGCAUGGUCCUGUUGCUGCCACUGACAGGUAACAUUCUUCAGGUCCAAGGUAAAGCAUUGCAGUCCAAUUUCCACUGGGGUCAGAGAAGGAAGUCCCAUCAGAGCCCACGUGCUCCUACUCUAUAGGGUGUCCAGAUCAUCUUUACACACGUAACUUGGAACAUUUACUCCUAUUCUGUCUUCUCUCCCUGAACAUAGUUCAUUCUGUCCAGUGGCAAGUUUGAGGUCAUCAGGAAGGACCAUGGUUUGCAGAGCUUCCAUAUCCAGCCCAGGCCUCUCUAGAGAUCUUUUCUAUCUCCUCCCCAUCUCCCCAUUCCUUUGUUGACUCACCUGCAUCCCCAGGCAGGUCCACGGUCACAGGGAGGGACCAAGAUCCCCAAGAGCCACGGAGGGAGACCCCAUCAGGUUGGCUGCGUAGCUGGAGCCAGUAGGAGUUCCCAGGCUGGAGCCCUGAGAGGAGGCAGCUUCCACCCUUCACUGUCAGAGACGGAGCCUUGGGAGAAGAAUCCCAGCCUCAGAAUCUAGGUCUGCCUCUCAGCCGAGAGAGCCUCCACCUCUUAUAUCUGAAGCCCCACAACAUGCCUGUGGAGAGACACUCAGUUCUUCACUGGAUAGAUAUGCAUACAGACUGGGAGCCAGGUCAGUGGGUUUCGGGUGGAGUGCAGGGCUUUUUAGGGAAAUCCCCAUGAACUUGGAGGCCUGAAGCUCUCAAUUUUGUUGGUAUGAAUGACCCAAAGUGGGAGAUCCCUAAAUAGACAUGGCUCCUAAUCAGAGCCUAUACUAACUCUCUAAGGACCAACCCAGUCUGGAAUCCCCGAAGUAUGGCCUAUCCUUUCUUGGGGGCAGAAUUGUGGGCAGGAGAUCAGGAGGUGGAGCGGAAGAAGGCCAGGAUACUUCUCUAGUUGUGGGGGUCUGCUCUGGUACAUCCUGGUGGGGCAUCACGGGCUGAGCACACGGAGACGGGUCCGGAGCUGGGGCUAGGUUUGGUCUCCGCAGAGCUGGGCAGCAGGUUUCUGUGGACAGCAGCAGUGUGACUGUGGGACCCGUGGAGUUCCUUGGAUCCUUGGGGCCAUAGCGGAGUUCGUGCCUCAGAAAUUCACUGAUUUCGGGAGCUGGGACCUCCCAGCUGAUCUGAAGUUCCCCUGGCUGGCUCCCUCCCAUGGCCUUGAUGAGGCUGGGGGGACCUGGCAGGCCUGAAGGUGAGACAGGGCACGUGAGAACUCUUUGGGGGCCACAGUCUACAGCUCAACCCAUGGACUGUGGAGAGGGGAUGCUGGAGGCUGGAUUGAGGGCAGCCCCGGGGGCAGGGCAGGAAGGCUCCUCAUCCUGUUCUCCUGUCCUCAGAACAGUGACCUCAUUGCAGGUUUGUUAGGCUCGGUGCUCCUCAAGAGCAGGGACCUCUCUUCAUCUGUGCAUCCUUUCCACCUAGCACAGUGCCUGGCACAUGAAGCAAGUGAGGUCCUCAAAUGUUCGGGAGAAACAGUUCAGGGACUCUGAGUCCGAGGCCAGCAAGGAGGCAUCUGAGGAAUAGCUGAGUGAUGAGGAAACUGAGAUGCAAAUAAAGACUUGCCUAAGAUGACACACCUCCUAAGAGGUAAAACUCAGGACAUCAAGCUUCAGAACCCAAGUGCUUGACAACCAUACCAGUGCCGCUGGAAGGUGUAAUUUGCCAAGAAACGACUGUCUGCCUUGCAACUGUGACAAAAUGGUGGCUAUUUCCACUCUAAUAGGUUCUGUCACUUUGUGCACAAAUAAACACGUUCUCCUUGGAACUACACAACAGCCUCCAUUGUGGGGA